rfam:Ciona savignyi cont_20583, whole genome shotgun sequence.
GACGAGGUGGCCGAGUGGUUAAUGCGAUGGUCUGCUAUUCCAUUGUGCUCUGCACGCGUGGGUUCGAAUCCAAUCCUCGUCG